UCUGGAUGCGAGGCGGCCAGCAGACACCAAGCGUAAUGUCGGAAUCGUCGGAAUACGAAAGUGACGUCGCGUCGCUUCCAAGCGAUUCUGAGGACUACAGCUCCGAAGAAAUUGUGCUCGACGACGACCCUUAUUCCACAGACCCUCUACCACUUGACCCUGCUGCAGGUCGUGCUGCAGGUGAAGGUGCAGCCAGUGAAAGCGAGCCGUCCGAUAGCGACGACACUUUCAGAUGCCUCUGCACUCGCUGCAGUCCAGUGGAACCCGAUGAACGCCGGUGCUGCAGUUCUGUUGAUCGGGUGUCGGCUGUCUGUGAGGGUGCCGGGGUCAAUUGUAUCACCGAUCACCCACUCUUCAAUGACAUUUGUCUGCGGAGGGAGCUCCUGGUUGUUUAUGCACCAGUGUUUUGCCGUGAUGACCGUCGCAUGCGUGUUCUCGAGCCAUCUGACAAUAGACGUCUCCGAUACAGCGCGUAUUGCGCGUUCACAACAUGGAUUCAUGGAUACCUUGGGAUAAGAAACCGAAGGCAGAUUCCAGGAUGUGCUGUUCGAAGAAUCAGGACGUUGUUCCCGUCAGUUUCAUAUACGGGAUACUACGAGUAACACCAGGCAUAUCUCCCAUGUGUCAUAUAUUGUAACAUACUUCACUUUUCAUAACACCUUUCAAAUUCAACUCGUGCAGCAGGGUGUUUGCUCUAAUUAACGUGUCCAGAGGUUUUAUCUAAAACGAGUGCUACUUUUGAGCUAC